AGCAGCCGCGGUAAUUCCAGCUCCAGUAGCGUAUAUUAAAGUUGUUGCAGUUAAAAAGCUCGUAGUUGAAUUUCGGGGUUAGUGGAUUGGUCGUGCCUCUGGUAUGUACUGGUCCUACUGAUUCCUCCUUCUUGAAGAACUGUAAUGCCAUUAAUUUGGUGUUAUGGGGAAUCUAGACUGUUACUUUGAAAAAAUUAGAGUGUUUAAAGCAGGCUAACGCUUGAAUACAUUAGCAUGGAAUAAUGAAAUAGGACGUUCGAUCCUAUUUUGUUGGUUUCUAGGAUUGACGUAAUGAUUAAUAGGGAUAGUUGGGGGCAUUAGUAUUCAAUUGUCAGAGGUGAAAUUCUUGGAUUUAUUGAAGACUAACUACUGCGAAAGCAUUUGCCAAGGAUGUU
rnacentral:rRNA from 1 species